rnacentral:SRP_RNA from 1 species
GACGAGAGACCCUCACAAUGGGGCCCUGCGAACCUGGUCAGGGUCGAAAGACAGCAGCCAUAAGCGGUCAGCUUCAUGUGUGCUGGGUCUCUCGUCGGG